UACGUAGGGUGCAAGCGUUGUCUGGAAUUAUUGGGCGUAAAGAGCUCGUAGGCGGUCAGUCGCGUCUGCUGUGAAAACUCGGGGCUUAACUCCGGGCCUGCAGUGGGUACGGGCUGACUAGAGUGCGGUAGGGGAGACUGGAAUUCCUGGUGUAGCGGUGAAAUGCGCAGAUAUCAGGAAGAACACCCGUGGCGAAGGCGGCUCUCUGGGACGGUACUGACGCUGAGACGCGAAAAGCGUGGGGGAGCAAACAGG
rnacentral:rRNA from 1 species